rnacentral:rRNA from 1 species
AGAGUUUGAUCAUGGCUCAGAACGAACGCUGGCGGCGUGGAUAAGACAUGCAAGUCGAGCGCUGAUUACAGGGUAGCAAUAUUCUGUAGUCGGAGCGGCGCAAGGGUGCGUAACACGUGGGCAAUCUGCCGUGAAGUCGGGGACAACUUGCUGAAAGGCGAGCUAAUACCGGAUGUAAAAAUCGGAAGGCAUCUUCUGAUUUUCAAAGCUGGGGACCGUAAGGCCUGGCGCUUCAUGAUGAGCCCGCGGCCUAUCAGCUAGUUGGUGAGGUAACGGCUCACCAAGGCUAAGACGGGUAGCUGGUCUGAGAGGACGACCAGCCACACUGGAACUGAGACACGGUCCAGACACCUACGGGUGGCAGCAGUCGAGAAUUUUUCACAAUGGGCGAAAGCCUGAUGGAGCGACGCCGCGUGGGGGAUGAAUGGCUUCGGCCCGUAAACCCCUGUCAUUUGCGAUCAAACCUCUUCAUUUAAAAGAUGAUGAGCUGAUAGUAGCGAAAGAGGAAGGGACGGCUAACUCUGUGCCAGCAGCCGCGGUAAUACAGAGGUCCCAAGCGUUGUUCGGAUUCACUGGGCGUAAAGGGUGCGUAGGUGGCGAGGUAAGUCGGAUGUGAAAGCUCGGAGCUCAACUCCGAAAUGGCAUUGGAAACUACCUUGCUCGAGGGUUGGAGGGGGGACUGGAAUUUCUCGGUGUAGCAAGUGAAAAUGCGUAGAUAUCGAGAGGAACACCAAGUGGCGAAGGCGAGUCCCUGGACAAACUCCUGACACUGAGGCACGAAAGCUAGGGGAGCAAACAAGGAUUAGAUACCCCCGUAGUCC